rnacentral:rRNA from 1 species
CCCGACUGCUAUUUGGGUGAGAAUAAGCCAUGCGAGUCGAAUGGAAUACCAAAAUAUUCCAUGGCAAACUGCUCAAUAACACGUAAUCAACUUACCCUAUGGAAAACAAUAACCUCUGGAAACGGAGGAUAAUGGUUUAUAGUUGAAAAGGCUUGGAAAAGUUCUUCAAUAAAAGGGAAUAAUAAAAAUGGUUAUUAUUUUGCCAUAGGAUAGGAUUGCGGUCGAUUAUGGCUGUUGGUGAGGUAAUGGCUCACCAAACCAAUAAUCGAUAGGGGCCGUGAGAGCGGGAGCCCCGAGAUGGGUACUGAGACAACGACCCAGGCCUUACGAGGUGCAGCAGGCGCGAAAACUCCGCAAUACACGAAAGUGUGACGGGGUUACCCAAAGUGCUUAAUUUUUAAGCUGUGGUAAGUGUGUAAUGUACCUUACUAGGAAGGAGAGGGCAAGGCUGGUGCCAGCCGCCGCGGUAAAACCAGCUCUUCAAGUGGUCGGGAUAUUUAUUGGGCUUAAAGUGUCCGUAGCUUGUAUAAUAAGUUCCUGGUAAAAUCUAAUAGCUUAACUAUUAGUAUGCUAGGAAUACUGUUAUACUAGAGGGCGGGAGAGGUUUGAGGUACUUCAGGGGUAGGGGUGAAAUCCUAUAAUCCUUGAAGGACCACCAGUGGCGAAGGCGUCAGACUGGAACGCGCCUGACAGUGAGGGACGAAAGCCAGGGGAGCGAACCGGAUUAGAUACCCGGGUAGUCCUGGCCGUAAACGAUGCACACUAGGUGUUGGUAUGGCUAUGAGCCAUAUCAGUGCCGAAGGGAAACCAUUAAGUGUGCCGCCUGGGAAGUACGGUCGCAAGGCUAAAACUUAAAGGAAUUGGCGGGGAGCACCACAAGGGGUGAAGCCUGCGGUUC